AACGCACCUUGCACUCCCUGGUAUUCCGGGGAGCACGCCUGUUCGAGUGUCGUGAAAUUAUCAAGCCCAGGAUGCUUUGUUGUGUCUUGGCCUUGGUUUAUUGGGCUUUGCUGUGCCCUUCAUUGGAACGGCUGGCCUUAAAAGCAUUAGCUGACUCUCAUGUGGGAUUGGUUCUACUUGGCAUGAUAAUGACCUGACUGCUGAGGACAUUCUUUGGGAUGGCCAAUUCCCAUUCGAGUUGCUUCUAAUCUGGUUCUGCAGGUUCUCCUGAGAAAUCUGCUCCACUAUCAAUUUUGGCCUCGAAUCAGGUGGGACUACCUGCUGAACUUAA
rnacentral:misc_RNA from 1 species